AACUGUUUUGAUGUAGUCUGCAUUGGCUGUUAUUGGUAUAACCUGCAGUAGUAAAACCCAUUCUUUAACUAUUCAUUUUUGCUUCUGAAUUCCCCCACUACUUUGGAUUUUUUACUCUUUCUCUCUUAUAUAACCUCUUUCUCUCUUAAUCUCUCACAUAGAGACACAGAGAUGAACACACACACAUGAACAUACACAGUUUACAUUAUAACUUUGGGUAUGUAAUCUGCAUUGAAAUCCUAUGAUGUUUUCCUACCAUUAUGAUACCAUGUUUCCCCAAGAAUUCUGGAAAUAGUAAUUUCGUGUGGAUUCUUUUAUUUUCUCUAGUCUUAGAGUUUUCAAAGAGCUCCAUUCUAUGGAACAGAAUGCCAUUAAACCUAGUUCUGAAGCUGGGAUUGAUAUGCCAGAAAAGCAGCAUGUAAAAUAUAAGAAAACAAAUAUAACAUCUCCAGCCACCAGGAGGAGCUUUUUCCUUUAUUUUUAUUUUUUCAGCACCAUCUUGUAAGGAUAUAGAAAAUAUUUGAAGAUUCCAAAAUUAUGCUUAAUUCUAAAUCCAUGGAUAAUAAAGAAACCUAAUUUACAUUCACUUCAAAUUCAAAGGAACAAUGAAUGGAAACUUUUGGAAUGAGCUUUAUAUACACCAAUAACUCACAGACUAUCAAGGAUCUUUCUGCAUCAGUGUAAGCUCCAAGGCUUUAAAAACCAUCUCUUUCUGCAAUUGGAUCUUUUCAAACAGGGAUGUUGAAAAUAUUCUUGUGGUAUGACAAUCUUUUCUUAAAUGUAGAGGAAGAUGUUUAAGUGAACAAAAGACAUGUACUAAUAAAUAGAUACUGACAAUAUCUAA